rnacentral:rRNA from 1 species
AAUCCAUAGGUUAAUGAGGCGAACCGGGGGAACUGAAACAUCUAAGUACCCCGAGGAAAAGAAAUCAACCGAGAUUCCCCCAGUAGCGGCGAGCGAACGGGGAGGAGCCCAGAGCCUGAAUCAGCAUGUGUGUUAGUGGAAGCGUCUGGAAAGGCGCGCGAUACAGGGUGACAGCCCCGUACACAAAAGCGCAUGUGCUGUGAGCUCGAUGAGUAGGGCGGGACACGUGGUAUCCUGUCUGAAUAUGGGGGGACCAUCCUCCAAGGCUAAAUACUCCUGACUGACCGAUAGUGAACCAGUACCGUGAGGGAAAGGCGAAAAGAACCCCGGCGAGGGGAGUGAAAAAGAACCUGAAACCGUGUACGUACAAGCAGUGGGAGCACAGGUUUACCUGUGUGACUGCGUACCUUUUGUAUAAUGGGUCAGCGACUUAUAUUCUGUAGCAAGGUUAACCGAAUAGGGGAGCCGGAGGGAAACCGAGUCUUAAUUGGGCGUUAAGUUGCAGGGUAUAGACCCGAAACCCGGUG